UACGGAGGGUGCGAGCGUUGUCCGGAAUCACUGGGCGUAAAGGGCGCGUAGGCGGCGCGGGGAGUCAACGGUGAAAGCUCGGCGCUCAACGCCGAGUCGGCCGUCGAUACUCCCGUGCUCGAGCACUGUAGAGGCAGGUGGAAUUCCGGGUGUAGCGGUGGAAUGCGCAGAUAUCGGGAAGAACACCCGUGGCGAAGGCGGCUCUCUGGGACGGUACUGACGCUGAGACGCGAAAGCGUGGGGAGCGAACAGG
rnacentral:rRNA from 1 species